rnacentral:misc_RNA from 1 species
GAUGAAGAACGUAGUGAAAUGUGAUAAGUAAUGUGAAUUGCAGAAUUCAGUGAAUCAUCGAAUCUUUGAACGCACAUUGCGCCCUCUGGUAUUCCGGGGGGCAUGCCUGUUCGAGCGUCAUUAUAACCACUCAAGCUCUCGCUUGGUAUUGGGGUUCGCGGUUUCGCGGCCCCUAAAAUCAGUGGCGGUGCCUGUCGGCUCUACGCGUAGUAAUACUCCUCGCGAUUGAGUCCGGUAGGUCUACUUGCCAGCAACCCCUAAUUUUUUUUAAGGUUGACCUCGGAUCAGGUAGGGAUACCCGCUGAACUUAAGCAUAUCAAUAAGCGGAGGA